rnacentral:ncRNA from 1 species
UUUCGAUACAGGCAAACCUUGAGUGAUCAGGGGACGCAAAAGAAAGGAUCUUGUAAUCAUUGAAUGGAUGAAACUGCCUCAACGGUUUACAACAAGAUAGCCUUACUGCAGAA